AUUGAACUCUGGCGGCGGGCCUAACACAUGCAAGUCGGGCGAGUGGCGGACGGGUGAGUAAUGUAUGGGGAUCUGCCUGAUGGAGGGGGAUAACUACUGGAAACGGUAGCUACUCCCGCAUACCAUCAUAUGAACCCAUAUGGGAUUAGCUUGUAGGUGAGGUAACGGCUCACCUAGGCGACGAGCCCUAGCGGGUCUGAGAGGAUGAUCAGCCACACGGGGACUGAGACACGGCACAGAAUCCUACGGUAGGCAGCAGUGGGGAAUAUUGCACAAUGGGCGCAAGUCUGAUGCAGCAACGCCGCGUGUAUGAAGAAGGCCUUCGGGUUGUAAAGUACUUUCAGUCGGGAGGCGUUACCGACAGAAGAAGCACCGGCUAACUCCGUGCCAGCCGCCGCGGUAAUAC
rnacentral:rRNA from 1 species